CACUCCAGUGGCUCUAUUACAGUGCGAACAAGCUCGUGUAAUUCGAGCAAUAGUCGUAAUGAAUGAAACACAUUUAGUUUCACUUUCAUUAUCUUGUUUAAAAUUUAUAAGCAUCAUACUGCCACUAAAAGCAUAACUGACCCAUGCAGGUAAGAUUCAAGUCAAUGUGAACAAUUUAUGCGUGUAGAGACACUAGCCAAGAACCAGCCGACGACAAAAAAACAUUCCCCUACACAUUAAUCCGAAUGCAGUCAGUUAGUGUAGCCAUCACACAGCCAAUUACCUUCUAUCAAACUAAAUCUCGAGCCCCGACCCUAAGCUACUAUCACCAGCUGUCUAGUGGCGAUUCAGUUCUCAAACGCAGCACCACACCACCGACAGCUGGCCGACAAUGGUGACGAUAUCGAAGACAUCAGUCGCUCUGCCGAAAAAGUCAGGAAGCCCGAACAGCAAUAAUGUGCCAACGGCUGCGGCGAUGACGUCAUCGGUGGCUGUGAAACGCGUCAGCUGCGGAAUUUGGCAAGCUUUGCGGGCAAACUUCGAGCGAUACCAGACAUUUACCAGUUCAGCUUGGCCGUACAGAUAGAUAAGGAUUGGGUGGGCGGCUUGCAGCCAGGCUUGAUUUGUUUUAUUUAAUCAGUCGAGCCGUGAGGAAACAAUGAGAGAGAGCAAUAAAUUUCGAUUUCGAUAAAGCAAACGUUUUGGUUUCACCUUGGUGUACAUGAAUAGAUGAAACGGGUGUCCUGUGGAUUUCAGUCGUGUGGCAUUGUGCAGUUAACGAGUCUGUCGGGAGAUAAUGAAAUAUACAUAUGGCA